AACGAACGCUGGCGGCAUGCCUAACACAUGCAAGUCGAACGAGACCUUCGGGUCUAGUGGCGCACGGGUGCGUAACGCGUGGGAAUCUGCCCUAGGGUGCGGAACAACUCGGAGAAAUCCGUGCUAAUACCGCAUAAUGUCUUCGGACCAAAGAUUUAUCGCCCUGGGAUGAGCCCGCGUAGGAUUAGCUAGUUGGUGGGGUAAAGGCCUACCAAGGCGGCGAUCCUUAGCUGGUCUGAGAGGAUGAUCAGCCACACUGGGACUGAGACACGGCCCAGACUCCUACGGGAGGCAGCAGUGGGGAAUAUUGGACAAUGGGCGAAAGCCUGAUCCAGCAAUGCCGCGUGAGUGAUGAAGGCCCUAGGGUUGUAAAGCUCUUUUACCCGGGAUGAUAAUGACAGUACCGGGAGAAUAAGCUCCGGCUAACUCCGUGCCAGCAGCCGCGGUAAU
rnacentral:rRNA from 1 species